rnacentral:rRNA from 1 species
GUGGGGAAUAUUGGACAAUGGGCGAAAGCCUGAUCCAGCCAUGCCGAGUGUGUGAAGAAGGUCUUCGGAUUGUAAAGCACUUUAAGUUGGGAGGAAGGGCAGUAAGUUAAUACCUUGCUGUUUUGACGUUACCGACAGAAUAAGCACCGGCUAACUUCGUGCCAGCAGCCGCGGUAAUACGAAGGGUGCAAGCGUUAAUCGGAAUUACUGGUCGUAAAGCUCGCGUAGGUGGUUUUGUAAGUUGGAGGUGAAAUCCCCGGGCUCAAGCUAGGAACUGCCUCCAAAACUACUGAGCUAGAGUACGGUAGAGGGUAGUGGAAUUGCCUGUGUAGCGGUGAAAUGCGUAGAUAUAGGAAGGAACACCAGUGGCGAAGGCGACUACCUGGACUGAUACUGACACUGAGGUGCGAAAGCGUGGGGAGCAAACAGGAUUAGAAACCCUGGUAGUCC